AGUUCUUGCUGAUUCCGAUCCGGUUCUAAUACUCGUUCGGCCGGCAUUGCGGAUUCUGGAUUGUUCGAUAACGAGCUCUUGGGGCCUUUGGUACUAUUUAGGCGUGGAUUGUGGAGGAGGAAUUGUUUAGGGUUUGUGAGAUGAUCAUGUGAAUAUAGAUGAUUGACGAGAGUGAGAGAGAGAAGAGGGGAAUGGAUGACAGAGGUGAGUCAUUUGUCGCUGUCAGGAGGAUAUCUCAAGGUCUCGAACGAGGUAGCAACACCUGCCAUUCAACGUCUGGCUUGCAUUCCUUUGUUUGGAAUUUCGUAGGCACUUGCACAUGAGAAUCGAACGCCAAGCAUGCUCCUUAUUGCUUUUCUUCUACUUACGUGCAGAAUUAAUAAAUUUAUUCAAUAUUAAACAAUAUAAAUACUUUUUUCUUGUUUCCAUCUAACAUAAUAGAUCAUUUAAGAACUUUGUUUUCAUUAGUAUGAGGUUUUAUUUUGUUACAGCUGAGGU
rnacentral:misc_RNA from 1 species